AGAGCGAACGCUGGCGGCAGGCUUAACACAUGCAAGUCGAACGGACCCUUCGGGGUUAGUGGCGGACGGGUGAGUAACACGUGGGAACGUGCCCUUUGGUUCGGAACAACACAGGGAAACUUGUGCUAAUACCGGAUGUGCCCUUCGGGGGAAAGAUUUAUCGCCAUUGGAGCGGCCCGCGUCUGAUUAGCUUGUUGGUGAGGUAAAAGCUCACCAAGGCGACGAUCAGUAGCUGGUCUGAGAGGAUGACCAGCCACAUUGGGACUGAGACACGGCCCAAACUCCUACGGGAGGCAGCAGUGGGGAAUCUUGCGCAAUGGGCGAAAGCCUGACGCAGCCAUGCCGCGUGGAUGAUGAAGGUCUUAGGAUUGUAAAAUCCUUUCAGCGGGGACGAUAAUGACGGUACCGCAGAAGAACGCCCGGCUAACUUCGCGCCAGCAGCCG
rnacentral:rRNA from 1 species